rnacentral:rRNA from 1 species
CAAUAGCGUAUAUUAAAGUUGUUGCGGUAAAAAAGCUCGUAGUUGGAUUUCUGUUGAGAGCGACCGGUCCAUACCAUGUAUGCGUAUCUGGCUUGCUCUCGGCAUCCUCUCGAUAGACGUUACUGCGCUUGAUUGCGUGGUGCGGAUCUCGGGACUUUUACUUUGAGGAAAUUAGAGUGUUCACGGCAGGCUUUCGCCAGAAUACAUUAGCAUGGUAUAAUACUAUAGGAUCUUGGUUCUAUUUUGUUGGUUUCUAGAAUUGAGAUAAUGAUUAAUAGGGACAAUUGGGGGCAUUCGUAUCAACACGUCAGAGGUGGAAUUCUUGGAUUGUGUUGCGACGAACUACUGCGAAAGCAUUUGCCAAGGAUGUUUUCAUUGA